rnacentral:lncRNA from 1 species
GAAGUUGUAAUGCUUCUCAAAUAAUAUAUAGGGGAUGUAUGUACAUGGGACAUUAGCUGAGUCUGUCAUGCAUGCAAAAAUAUCUGUCAAUUACCUGAAGACAAGUCCAAACAUAUUAUCAACGCAGUCAUCUUCUAUAUGAUCCUCCCACCCAUAGUCAUGUCUAGGACCAUCAACUUUGCAUUAUCAUCUAAUAUGAACUUCACAUGGAUUUAGAUUGAUAGGAGAUUAGAGAAUUGAGAACCAACAUAAUAAUUUGCAGAAAACCAAAAGUUCACUAGAUGGCUCUCAUAACAUAAAUUAGCCUCUACUAUUUCAUUAAGAUCUACGAGUACAUGUUAGAGGCUAAAAAAAUUAUCGAAGAG